UACGGAGGGUGCAAGCGUUAUCCGGAUUCACUGGGUUUAAAGGGUGCGUAGGUGGGUUGGUAAGUCAGUGGUGAAAUCUCCGAGCUUAACUUGGAAACUGCCAUUGAUACUAUCAGUCUUGAAUAUUGUGGAGGUUAGCGGAAUAUGUCAUGUAGCGGUGAAAUGCUUAGAUAUGACAUAGAACACCAAUUGCGAAGGCAGCUGGCUACGCAUAUAUUGACACUGAGGCACGAAAGCGUGGGGAGCGAACAGG
rnacentral:rRNA from 1 species